AUUGAACGCUGGCGGCAUGCCUUACACAUGCAAGUCGAACGGCGGCACGGGAGCAAUCCUGGUGGCGAGUGGCGAACGGGUGAGUAAUAUAUCGGAACGUGCCCAGUAGUGGGGGAUAGCCCGGCGAAAGCCGGAUUAAUACCGCAUGAGACCUGAGGGUGAAAGCGGGGGAUCGCAAGACCUCGCGCUAUUGGAGCGGCCGAUAUCAGAUUAGCUAGUUGGUGGGGUAAAGGCCUACCAAGGCAACGAUCUGUAGUUGGGCUGAGAGGACGACACGCCAAACGGGGACUAGGACACGCCCAAGACUCCCACGGGAGGCAUCAGUGUGGAAUUUUGUACAAUGGACGCAAGCCUGAUCCAGCAAUGCCGCGUGCAGGAAGAAGGCCUGCUGGUUUUAAACUGCUUUUGUAAGGGAAGAAAUCCCUUGGGAUAAUACCUCGGGGGGAUGACGGUACCUGAAGAAUAAGCACCGGCUAACUACGUGCCAGCCGCCGCCGUAAGAC
rnacentral:rRNA from 1 species